rnacentral:rRNA from 1 species
UACGUAGGGUGCAAGCGUUAAUCGGAAUUACUGGGCGUAAAGCGUGCGCAGGCGGUGAUGUAAGACAGGUGUGAAAUCCCCGGGCUUAACCUGGGAACUGCAUUUGUGACUGCAUCGCUGGAGUGCGGCAGAGGGGGAUGGAAUUCCGCGUGUAGCAGUGAAAUGCGUAGAUAUGCGGAGGAACACCGAUGGCGAAGGCAAUCCCCUGGGCCUGCACUUACGCUCAUGCACGAAAGCGUGGGGAGCAAACAGG